UAAGUCCUCUUGUAAAGCUGCCCUCCAAGUCCCAAACCCAAAACCAAGAGAUCCAAGAACACAACAAGAUUCCAACUCCUCAAAUCUUUGAACUUUUUAACCUUUCGAAUCACCAUCUUCUUCUCUGCACGGGAUUCUUGAUGGUGUUUCCAGAGCGGAGAAGCUGGUGAUUCGUGUUUUAAAGCUUGUGGGGUACCCGCAACAAUGGAGGGUGACAAGGGCGAAAGCAAUGGUAGUGGUGGUGGUGAGACUGCAACAGAGAAGAAGAAGAAGACAGUGCCUAAAGAAGAAGCAGAGGAGGCUCUAAAGAAAUGUUUAAAAGAGAACAAAGGAGAUCAUAUAAAAUGCAAGGCAAAAAUAGAAGCUUUUCUAUCUUCUUCUUCUACUUCUCAAAACCCUCCUCCACCUCCAAGACAAUCAAUCGGGCCUUUUAGGCGCAAGAGAGGUUCUUUAACAGAUGUUUGAAGAAAUUAACGGCUACCAAGCUUGAAAAAGAGGAUUCAUGGCAACCCAUAUGAAUGUUGAAUGUGAUUCUUGAAAGAAUUGAAAGGUGUCCAAAGAUGUCUGUGACAACUCUGGAUACCUCUGCUUCAAACAAAACAACAAGCUCUCUGCUCUUCCAGCCAAAAAAUGGUUCUUGUCGAUUCUAUCUGUGUCAGACAUGAGAUCUUUCACCAUGUC